CACGUCAUUUUACGCACUUAAAUCCUACCUGGACAAGAGUGAUCAGUAAAUUCUGCUUAAUUUUGCAUUUAUUUUGCAGAAAUUCUAUGCACUGCAGUUUUUUAUAAAAAUGUGACAAUUUGAUUGGAGGGCUGGAGUCAGAAAUGGACUAGGCCUCACUAAAGCCAUCUCCUUCAGAUUAAUUUACAUCCCACAUUCUGCACUCGAUUGUCAUGCAAUUUUUUUGACCACCUAAUUGACCCACUUGACCUCAAUUAUUUUGAUGAUUACAUUUUGAGCAAAAAUUUUGCACUCUUCAACACAGCUUUCUAAUUUAUGAAGAAGAUGAAUGGGUCGCCCGAGUUCAAGAAUUGUAGUUUCCCUUGUGGUUCUCUACCUGCAAAAAUUCUACAGCACAUUGCAGUUUUUAUGGAGGGCAGGAGUUAAAAAUGUUACACUCUUAGCAACUUGGUAAAGAAUUCCUAAUAAGCGUCUUUACCGAGCUCUUGGUAAUGACGCGUCCUACAAAAAUUAUACCGGAUUAUUACCGUAUCAAUACCAACCGGAUAACAUUCUUUACCAUAAUUUUAAUCAAGUGCACUACAAGUUGUGGUGCUGACGAGAUCUACAUUUUGGUGUGGUUUAUUACCAUAGUGCUCAACUCAAGUCAAAAUGGCGAAAUUAAUCCUAUUCUGCCCGUGGAAGAAAGUGAUAAAAACUUCUGGAAAUUAUAUAGAAUUUUUGGAAACAGUGAAGCAAAAAUUUGAGUUGGAAAUCAGAACAGAGAUUUUUCUGCAAGACGUCAACCGGUGUGGGCUCAUCCAAAAUCGACUGGAGAUUCAUCGGAAUUUGAAGGGGGGACAGACGAGUGUCAAAAACCAUAGUUUGCAUUAUACUUAAAUUUUAUACUUAUGUAAGUAUGUUUUAAAAUGGUUUUACAAUAAAUAUAAUUGAGUGAAA